GAGAGCCGAAGGAGGCUGUGGGAGGUGUUGGCGGCGGCGGCGCGGGCGCCUGAGGAGGAGGAGGAGAAGCGGAUGAGAUCGUGGGGCUCACCAGCGUCCCCCAUGGCUUCUGAGUAGCGUGGGAGUGGAGUCAGCACCAAGCCAGGCUCCCCGCGCCUGCCUUGCCCUCACCUGCUCCUGCUCUCUGCCAGAGGCAGCAUGGUCCGCAGGGCACCAUGGGGCCCGACAGAGUGACAGCACGAGAACUGUGCGAGAACGACGACCUGGCCACCAGCCUCGUCCUGGACCCCUACCUCGGUUUCCGCACCCAUAAGAUGAACGUCAGCCCCCGGCCUUGCAGGGAACAACGCAGGCAGCUGUGGUGGCAGGAGCAGGGAGGCCAGAGAGCCCCAGGGGCCAGGACUCAGGAUGCUGUCCAGACAUGCCCAGGAGAGGCCGCUGGUUGUCCUGUAGCCCGGAAGCAGAAGGAAUCAGGAGGGUUGGCUCCAGGGCGGCAUUGAGGGUGCACCCUCUGGAGCACAGACCUCGAUGGGGCACCCCGGGAGGCAUGACAAAGGGAUCCAGAUUUUUGGCUCCAGAGUCAGAACUGAGUUGGGGUCCUGGCGAUGCCACCCCUGGCCUUUGGUUUUUCAUCUCAGAUGGGGUUGGUGAGGAUCUCUGGAACUCUGCGGGCUGGUCAAGUGUGCCGGAGGGUUUUGGACAGCGAAUGCGUGGCCCUGGUCUGACACCACACACAGACGCUGGGGGGGAUGGAAACAAAAGGCGGCAUUCGGAGAGGCUCUGCAGGGCCAGUGUGCUCCAGCCACCUUGAGCACACGAGAGGGCGGCCAGCUCUCCAGCGAUCUAGAACCAUCUGGCUUCACAGAAGCCAUGCUGGGCAUCGACGGA
rnacentral:lncRNA from 1 species